rnacentral:lncRNA from 1 species
CCAUUUCUCUGCUGUUCUUUUGGCUGGAUCCUCCCCCAUGUGUUGGUUUCAUACUCCAGUUGCCACCAAAAGGACUGGAUAAUUCCAGCACAUGGAAUUACUCAACCACAUCCAAGGUCGACUCACUUCUGCACCUUGGGCUUGAGUGGCAGGAGACGGAACCACUGUGCUAAAUCCUGGGCCCUCUUUGUGUGUGUAUUGCUGGGGAUUGAACCCAGGGUCUUGUGCGUGCAAGGCCACUGAUACAGUCGCGCCAGAAGGACCGGCACUGGGGACUGGACACACUCACAUUGCGCCCUUGAUUUGGGGGGACUGGAUUAACAAAGGCGUGAAUCUCAGCUCCCAACACUCCUGGGACAGGGCUGAUAAUGGUACCACUCCACUUCAUCUGCAAAACGGUACUUACUAAGGCCACUUAUCCCCCGGCCCCGGAACCGGGAAUCAAACUCAGGGUCUUGCGCUUGCCCGGCAGGCGCGGCGCCGCUGAGCUACAUCCCAGGCCCCACUAAAGCUACUUUUGUCACGACCCAAACUAGAUGAGAUUUAGUAAUUUAGCACAACAUGUAGAUUUAACAAUUUUCUUGUUUUCUCCAUGUCUCUGUCACUUUCCAACUCCUCCUAAACGUUCUUUCGGCUUGCAAACGGGACAGAACUUGGCAAAGGCAGGUGUGACGAGAGGCCUGCGCCGGGUCUAGGGGUGGGGGCGAGACUCGGACACUGACAGCCGCAGCCUUUGGGGAACCCGGGCGCGGGAGUCGCCAUAAGCUUCACUCCCAGACUUCGCCCCGAGACGGAGGCCGCCGCCACACUCUCCCUCUGAGGAGAGGGCGGAGGCACAAGAUGGCGGACGGCCGAGUGGGCGGCCGCGGCCGCUUCCGGACUUCAGAGCCG